rnacentral:rRNA from 1 species
AUUGAACGCUGGCGGCAGGCCUAACACAUGCAAGUCGAGUGGAGCGGCGGCCGGGUGAGUAAUGCCUAGGAAUCUGCCUGGUAGUGGGGGAUAACGUCCGGAAACGGGCGCUAAUACCGCAUACUAUCAGCAGAGGCGAGGUCGGAUUAGCUAGUUGGGGGGGGAAAGGCCUACCAAGGCGACGAUCCGUAACUGGUCUGAGAGGAUGAUCAGUAACACUGUAACUGAGACACGGUCCAGACUCCUACGGGAUGCAGCAGUGGGGAAUAUUGGACAAUGGGCGAAAGCCUGAUCCAGCCAUGCCGCGUGUGUGAAGAAGGUCUUCGGAUUGUAAAGCACUUUAAGUUGGGAGGCGUUACCAACAGAAUAAGCACCGGCUAACUUCGUGCCAGCAGCCGCGGUAAUUC